AGAGUUUGAUCCUGGCUCAGGACGAACGCUGGCGGCGUGCUUAACACAUGCAAGUCGAACGAGAAUCUGUGGAAAGAGGAUUCGUCCAAUUGAAGCAGAGGACAGUGGCGGACGGGUGAGUAACGCGUGAGGAACCUGCCUUUCAGAGGGGGACAACAGUUGGAAACGACUGCUAAUACCGCAUAACAUAUAGAUGUCGCAUGGCAUUUAUAUCAAAGAUUUAUCGCUGAAAGAUGGCCUCGCGUCUGAUUAGCUAGUUGGUGAGGUAACGGCCCAUCAAGGCGACGAUCAGUAGCCGGACUGAGAGGUUGAACGGCCACAUUGGGACUGAGAUACGGCCCAGACUCCUACGGGAGGCAGCAGUGGGGAAUAUUGGGCAAUGGGCGCAAGCCUGACCCAGCAACGCCGCGUGAAGGAAGAAGGCUUUCGGGUCGUAAACUUCUUUUGUCAGGGACGAGUAGAAGACGGUACCUGACGAAUAAGCCACGGCUAACUACGUGCCAGCAGCCGCGGUAAUACGUAGGUGGCAAGCGUUGUCCGGAUUUACUGGGUGUAAAGGGCGUGUAGCCGGGAGGGCAAGUCAGAUGUGAAAUCCACGGGCUCAACUCGUGAACUGCAUUUGAAACUACUCUUCUUGAGUAUCGGAGAGGCAAUCGGAAUUCCUAGUGUAGCGGUGAAAUGCUUAGAUAUCACGAAGAACUCCGAUUGCGAAGGCAGCUCACUGGAGCGCAACUGACGCUGAAGCUCGAAAGUGCGGGUAUCGAACAGGAUUAGAUACCCUGGUAGUCCGCACGGUAAACGAUGGAUGCCCGCUGUUGGUCUGAAUAGGUCAGCGGCCAAGCGAAAGCAUUAAGCAUCCCACCUGGGGAGUACGCCGGCAACGAUGAAACUCAAAGGAAUUGACGGGGGCCCGCACAAGCGGAGGAACAUGUGGUUUAAUUCGAUGAUACGCGAGGAACCUUACCCGGGCUUGAAUUGCAGAGGAAGGAUUUGGAGACAAUGACGCCCUUCGGGGCCUCUGUGAAGGUGCUGCAUGGUUGUCGUCAGCUCGUGCCGUGAGGUGUCGGCUUAAGUGCCAUAACGAGCGCAACCCCUCUCCUUAGUUGCCAUCAGGUUAAGCUGGGCACUCUGGGGACACUGCCACCGUAAGGUGUGAGGAAGGUGGGGAUGACGUCAAAUCAGCACGGCCCUUACGUCCGGGGCUACACACGUGUUACAAUGGCAGGUACAGAGAGACGGUUGUACGUAAGUACGAUCAAAUCCUUAAAGCCUGUCUCAGUUCGGACUGGGGUCUGCAACCCGACCCCACGAAGCUGGAUUCGCUAGUAAUCGCGCGUCAGCCAUGGCGCGGUGAAUACGUUCCCGGGCCUUGUACACACCGCCCGUCAAGCCAUGAAAGCCGGGGGCGCCUAAAGUCCGUGACCGUAAGGAGCGGCCUAGGGCGAAACUGGUAAUUGGGGCUAAGUCGUAACAAGGUA
rnacentral:rRNA from 1 species